rnacentral:rRNA from 1 species
GUGUACAAGGCCCGGGAACGUAUUCACCGCGCCAUGGCUGAUGCGCGAUUACUAGCGAUUCCAGCUUCAUAGAGUCGAGUUGCAGACUCCAAUCCGAACUGAGACCGGCUUUCGAGAUUCGCAUCCUGUCACCAGGUAGCUGCCCUCUGUACCGGCCAUUGUAUGACGUGUGAAGCCCUACCCAUAAGGGCCAUGAGGACUUGACGUCAUCCCCACCUUCCUCCGGUUUGUCACCGGCAGUCUCUCUAGAGUGCUCUUGCGUAGCAACUAGAGACAAGGGUUGCGCUCGUUGCGGGACUUAACCCAACAUCUCACGACACGAGCUGACGACAGCCAUGCAGCACCUGUGUCCACUUUCCCUUUCGGGCACCUAAUGCAUCUCUGCUUCGUUAGUGGCAUGUCAAGGGUAGGUAAGGUUUUUCGCGUUGCAUCGAAUUAAUCCACAUCAUCCACCGCUUGUGCGGGUCCCCGUCAAUUCCUUUGAGUUUUAAUCUUGCGACCGUACUCCCCAGGCGGUCAACUUCACGCGUUAGCUACGUUACUGAGAAAAUGAAUCCCCAACAACUAGUUGACAUCGUUUAGGGCGUGGACUACCAGGGUAUCUAAUCCUGUUUGCUCCCCACGCUUUCGUGCAUGAGCGUCAGUCACGUCCCAGGGGGCUGCCUUCGCCAUCGGUAUUCCUCCACAUCUCUACGCAUUUCACUGCUACACGUGGAAUUCUACCCCCCUCUGACGCACUCUAGCCUUGCAGUCACAAGCGCAAUUCCCAGGUUAAGCCCGGGGAUUUCACGCCUGACUUACAGGCCCGCCUACGGACCCUUUAAACCCAAUAAAUCCGGAUAACGCUCGCACCCUCCGUAUUACCGCGGCUGCUGGCACGGAGUUAGCCGGUGCUUAUUCGUACAGUACCUUCAGCUGCCCUCACGAGGGCAGGUUUAUCCCUGUACAAAAGAAGUUUACAAUCCAUAGGACCGUCAUCCUUCACGCGGGAUGGCUGGAUCAGGCUUCCACCCAUUGUCCAAUAUUCCUCACUGCUGCCUCCCGUAGGAGUCUGGUCCGUGUCUCAGUACCAGUGUGGGGGAUCUCCCUCUCAGGACCCCUAAAGAUCAUCGACUUGGUGGGCCGUUACCCCGCCAACUAUCUAAUCUUGCGCGUGCCCAUCUCUAUCCGCCGAGGCUUUCAAUGGCGACCGAUGCCGGACACCAUAUUAUGGGGUAUUAAUCUUCCUUUCGAAAGGCUAUCCCCCAGAUAAAGGCAGGUUGCACACGUGUUACGCACCCGUACGCCGCUCUCUGGAUAGCAAGCUAUCCAUACCGCUCGGCU